ensembl:lncRNA
UUAGAUUGCACAAGUAUUUUUUUAUUACAGCACUUUUUCCCCAAGACGUGACUCAUACAAUUGUAUGCACACUACAGCAAUGCCUACAUGUUGACAAACAAAACAUGAAUACACUGAUCCCAUACAAUUCCAAGACACCAUUUACAAGCGCAGCACCCACGUACUCCAUACAAUUCCAAGACACCGUUUACAGGCGCAGCACCCGCGUACUCCGUACAAUUCCAAGACACUGUUUACAGGCGCAGCACCCGCGUACUCCAUACAAUUCCAAGACACCGUUUACAGGCGCAGCACCCGCGUACUCCAUACAUUUUAAGACAUGGUUUACACAUAACACAUAUGUCAGACUCACAAGACAAAGGUCACAAAGCCUCCACAUCCCAUAAAUGACCUUACAUUUACACUAACAUUGUGUACUGCAACCCACCUCAACAGCAGAGCAGGUCUCAGCCCACCUGAAGUAAAUGCAAGCCUCAGACUGGCCGGGAAGGAGUGCAAAUGGGCUCUGAUGGCCUUGGGCAUUGGUUACGGGGUUGGGUUAGCCCUGCGGUACAAACAAACAAAGCAAAGCUAACCCAACCCCGUAAGCAAGGCAAAGCUAAAGCCAAUUUGGCUGACAUCAAUUGAUUGCAAAGCUAAAGCCAAUUUGGCUGAGAUCAAUUGACUGCAAAGCUAUAGCCAAUUUGGUUGAGAUCAAUUGAUUGCAAAGCUAAAGCCAAUUUGGGCAAGAUAAAUUGACUGCACCUGCCAAAAUCAGCGCAACUCACAGAAUGGCCGCAAAGGGGCGCGAGUCUCAGACUGGCCGGGAAGGAGCGCAAAUGGGCUCCGAUGGCCUCGGGCAUUGGUUACGGGGUUGGGUUAGCCCUGCGGUACAAACAAACAAAGCAAAGCUAACCCAACCCCGUAAGCAAGGCAAAGUUAAAGCCAAUUUGGCUGACAUCAAUUGAUUGCAAAGCUAAAGCCAAUUUGGCUGAGAUCAAUUGACUGCAAAGCUAUAGCCAAUUUGGUUGAGAUCAAUUGAUUGCAAUGCUAAAGCCAAUUUGGGCAAGAUAAAUUGACUGCACCUGCCAAAAUCAGCGCAACUCACAGAAUGGCCGCAAAGGGGCGCGAGUCUCAGACUGGCCGGGAAGGAGCGCAAAUGGGCUCCAAUGGCCUCGGGCAUUGGUUACGGGGUUGGGUUAGCCCUGCGGUACAAACAAACAAAGCAAAGCUAACCCAACCCCGUAAGCAAGGCAAAGCUAAAGCCAAUUUGGCUGACAUCAAUUGAUUGCAAAGCUAAAGCCAAUUUGGCUGAGAUCAAUUGAUUGCAAAGCUAAAGCCAAUUUGGGCAAGAUCAAUUGAUUGCAAAGCUAAAGCCAAUUUGGGCAAGAUAAAUUGACUGCACCUGCCAAAAUCAAUGCAACUCACAGAAUGGCCGCAAAGGGGCGCGAGUCUCAGACUGGCCGGGAAGGAGCGCAAAUGGGCUCCGAUGGCCUCGGGCAUUGGUUACGGGCAAGGCAAAGCUAAAGCCAACUUAUUUGCAAUGCAUUAACUGCAAAGCUAAAGCCAAUUUGGUUGAGAUAAAUUAUUUGUAAAGCUAAAGCCAAUUGGUUUGAUGCAAAAUAACUGCACACGCUGAAAUUGGUGUGACUCUCAGCAUGGCCGUGAGUCUCAAACAGCCUGGAUGGAGUGUGAAUGGUCUCUGUCCAGCUACAGGAUGUCAGUUACGGGAUUAGGGUCAGCCACGCUAGCAAACUCAAAGCGAAGGUGACCCAAACCCUUUGAUGUGCUAUCCCUUGAAAUUCUCUGAAAGAUUGCAGCCGGCUGCUUGGACGGGUACAUUGCUUGCUAGAUGAAGAACUAGCUGAACCUCCUGGCCUCAUGAGUGCUGCUCGAUCGUGUUAAAUGCAGCUGGUAUGCCAUCCUGAGUGCUCUGCAGGCCUGUUCUGUCCAAUAUCGUCAUUGAUGACCUGCCUGACGGCAUGGAGUGCACCCUUGGUAAGUUUGCUGAGGGCGUUGCAUCAGAUUAGCACUAUGUUUGGAGUUCAGAGCUCAUUAGGGUUGGGGUGAAGGUAUUAGGGUUAGGUUUAUUAGGGUUAUCCUCAAAGUGACUGUUAGGGAAGGCCAAGGCAAAGGCAACAACACCCAAGGGAACACCAAAACUGAGGGCAAAGGCAUAGACAACAACCAAGGGAAGGCAACGUCAAAGGCAAAGGGAAAGCAAAGGUAUGGAGAACACCUCCUCAGAGGGCAGGCCCAAAGAGAGGGCCUCAGAGAACAAAACAGACCAAAGAGAACACCGUGGCAAGGCCAAAAUGGAGGGCGAGGUCCAUGAGAACGCUGCAGGGAAAGCCGAUGCAGGAGGCCAAGGGCAAUGGCCAAAGAGAAUGCAGCACAGAAGGCCAAAACCAAAGGCCAAAGAGAAUGCUGUAGGGAAUGCCAAAACAAGAAGGCCAAAGGCAAAGGCCAAACAGAACGCAACAGGGAAUGCCAAAACCAAAGGCCAAAGAGAUCGUCACAGAGAAUGCCACAACAGGAGGCUGAAAGGAGCACGGCAAAGAAGGCCAAGGGCAAAGGUCAAAGAGAACAUGGAAGGGAACGCCAAAGAGAAUGUGGCAAAGGUGGCCAAGCGCAAUGGCCAGGAGAAUGUGGCAUGGAUGGCGAAAACAUAAGGCCAAAUAGAACACUGCAUGGAACACCAGAAGUGAUGGCCAAAGAGAACGAUGCAGGGAAUGCCAAAACCGGAGGCCAAAGAGAAUGCCACAAAGAAGGCCAAGGGCAAUGGCCAAGAGAACAUGACAUGGAAUGCAAAAACACGAGGGCAAGAGAAUGCAGUAGGGAAUGCCAAGGGCAAAGGGAAGGAGAACACCGCAGUGAAAGGCCAGAGCCAAGGAGAACGUGCAAAGAAUAGGACAGGCAGCCUUCGGGGCACCCUGAAGUGCAGAAAGGAGCUCUGGGAACCCUACCUUGUGUCUCACUCAGUAAGGGGUAAACACUGGUGGGUGUGCAUUGUCCUUACCUGCUGGGCAGACAAUUACCAGUCAGCAAAGUGGGGUUCCAGGGCAUCCCAGGAAAUGCAGCUUUCGGUUCCUUGCUGUUCCCGUGAAGACCCGCACAUCUCUCCGUGCAGUCGUUACAGAACCCGGGAGUGCUGCAGCUCUCUGCUGCCACCUGUUAAACACAAUGCAGUAAUGAAGGCGCCGCCCCGCAUAUGUAGGGCUGCACCCUGUGUGCAUUGCUCUAUAGGAUGACACAAGGGAGUAUUGCGAAUAUAAUGAAUGCUAUGCAUAGGUUUGAAGUUACAAUUAGCUUAACAAUUGUUUUCCACACUAUGAUUAGGAUUAAGGGUACUGUGACAGAAAACAAGCGGCAUUAUUUUUAUUGCAGCAUUUAGGUUAAGAGACGUUUUUAAUAUUAGCUUAAUAGUUAGGUUUACAUAUACA